CAGUAGCCGCGGGAAUACGUAGGUGGCAAGCGUUGUCCGGAAUUAUUGGGCGUAAAGGGCUCGCAGGCGGUUUCUUAAGUCUGAUGUGAAAGCCCCCGGCUCAACCGGAGAGGGUCAUUGGAAACUGGGAAACUUGAGUGCAGAAGAGGAGAGUGGAAUUCCACGUGUAGCGGUGAAAUGCGUAGAGAUGUGGAGGAACACCAGUGGCGAAGGCGACUCUCUGGUCUGUAACUGACGCUGAGGAGCGAAAGCGUGGGGAGCGAACAGGAUUAGAUACCCCUGUAGUCCCUGUCUCUUAUAC
rnacentral:rRNA from 1 species